rnacentral:rRNA from 1 species
GACGAACCGUGCGAACGUUAUUCGGAAUCACUGGGCUUAAAGGGCGCGUAGGCGGGCGGCCAAGUCAGGGGUGAAAGCCCCCAGCUCAACUGGGGAAGUGCCUUUGAUACUGGUUGUCUCGAGGGAGGUAGGGCGUGCGGAACUUCCGGUGGAGCGGUGAAAUGCGUAGAUAUCGGAAGGAACGCCGGUGGCGAAGCGGCGCGCUGGACCUCUUCUGACGCUGAGGCGCGAAAGCUA